UAGGGUUACAGCUCUUUUAGAAUUUGUCUAGCAGAUUUUCCAUUUAAAAAAAAAAAUACAAA
rnacentral:snRNA from 1 species